rnacentral:misc_RNA from 1 species
GAGACGAAAAUGAAAGUGAGAUUACAGGUAAACAAAACACUAGCACAGCAUGAAACAAAACACUAUAGUUAGUAAUUGUUUUCACUAGUCAUUGCAGUUGCUCUCUAUCUCUCUCUCUGUCUCUCUGCUACCUUCGCUUACCAUAAUGUUAGAUUAAUCGGGUCGUGUAGGAACUUAUUUGAAGGUGUUGGAUCUGUUACCAUGCCUCAGCUGUGGGCAGUAACAGAUGUAUAUUGAAGGUUCUCUGUUGUAUCUAGUGAAGUUAUGCUAAAGCUUUGUUGUAUUUAAUUCAUGAUUAUGAACCAUAUUUA